rnacentral:rRNA from 1 species
GACUACAGGGGUAUCUAAGCCCGUUUGCUCCCCUGGCUUUCGUGCCUCAGCGUCAGGACAGGCCCAGUAAGUCGUCUUCACCACCGGCGUUCCUCUCGAUAUCUACGCAUUCCACCGCUCCACCGAGAGUUCCACUUACCCUUACCUGCCUCAAGCCCGCCAGUUCGCCAAGCAAUUCCCCGGUUGAGCCGGGGGAUUUCACAAGACGCUUAACAGGCCGCCUACUCACGCUUUAAGCCCAGUGAUUCCGAACAACGCUCGCCACCUCUGUAUUACCGCGGCUGCUGGCACAGAGUUAGCCGUGGCUUCCUCUGAGAUUCCUCAACUCGAAAGAUUGUUCACCCUUCUUGCUUGGUAAUCUCUGACAGUGGUUUACAUCCCGAGGGACUUCAUCCCACACGCGGCGUCGCUGGGUCAGGCUUGCGCCCAUUGCCCAAUAUUCGUUACUGCAGCCCCCCGUAGG